rnacentral:rRNA from 1 species
CAGUCGCCGCGGUAAUACGGAGGGAGCUAGCGUUGUUUGGAAUUACUGGGCGUAAAGCGCGCGUAGGCGGUUACUCAAGUCAGAGGUGAAAGCCCGGGGCUCAACCCCGGAACUGCCUUUGAAACUAGGUGACUAGAAUCUUGGAGAGGUCAGUGGAAUUCCGAGUGUAGAGGUGAAAUUCGUAGAUAUUCGGAAGAACACCAGUGGCGAAGGCGACUGACUGGACAAGUAUUGACGCUGAGGUGCGAAAGCGUGGGGAGCAAACAGGAUUAGAUACCCCCGUAGUCCCUGUCUCUUAUAC